UUCCAGGUAUGGAACAUGGCUCAGCCAUACAUUGAGAGUUACAGUAUAAACUGAGUGGUUCGAGCCCUGAAUGCUGAUUGCCUGAAAGCCGUGUUGCUGGAUAUUGGCGGGAACUGGAACACGCUGUCGUACACGUCGUUCCAUAGCAUCCCAAACGUGAUCCGUGGGUGACAUGUCGAGCUGAGGAGGAAAAGGAAAGAAUGAUUAGUACAGCAUGCCAAACUGACCCCUGGGUGUCAGAGUGUUCCUGUGCUGCGAUGGAGAAGAGGUUCACCGGGGCCAUCACUAAAGAGCUCGAGGCCUAGCUAGACUGCGCUCACCACCGCCACAGAUGGAGCUGACAGAGAGAGCGAGUGAGAUGAGGGAAGACCAGGAUCCGCUGUAUGAAACCGAGAGCUCAGAAUUACAAUCAUCACAGUGCGAACCAUGAGAUACUAUCAACGAGUGUGUGCAAGAUCUGAAACAUAGCAUGCUGAAGGAGUUGUUCAUGAGCCAGGAUGUCGAGCAGGUGUCAUCAGUUCAUCCCUGAAAAGAAAUGGUUUUUCCAUCACCAUGGAGACUGAGUGUGUUGUGGACCACAGGAGGAAGUUGGAGUCCCAGACCAGAGUGGAAAAUGUUUGCAGGGAAUCUGUUGGUACCAUCACCGGUCUUCCUAACUGGCGGCUCCCACUCCACAUUUGUGGAAACAUGUUGCCUCCUCAGCCUGGUGUCCAUGUCACUGCGACAGUUUGCAAACCAACCUCGCAUCUACAUUGUGCCAGAGGUUACACACAUGUGGACCCAGCACACAGAGGCCAUUCUGGCUAGAAUUGGUGACAGUCCACUGAUUGUAUCUGGAGACGCACGGCGUGAUUCGCCAGGCCAAUGUGCCUUCUUUGGCACUUACACCAUCCUGGACUCUGCUUCCCACCUGAUCCUGCCCAGGAUCAGGUGUGCAUGUGCAUGUGCAUGUGACCCAAUUGAAGAAUGGCUACUGGUUGGACAGAGGGACAGAGGGAUUAGUGAGAUGCCUGCAACACAUAAUUUUUUUAAUUAACCUUCAUGUGUAAACAUUGAGAUAAAACUCUUUUACAAGAGAGCCCUGUAUACACUUACAAAUAAAACGCAAUACAUAAAUAAAACACAACAGCCCGACAAAACACACUAUAGUAAAACACAUAAUACACACCAUUAAACAUAUUUAAGAAAAGCAAUCGCAUGCUGAAACAUAAAAGUUAUUUUAAAAUUAUUUUGAGGUAAGCUAUAGCCUAACCUAUAUUUUGUAGCUAGCCUAAGGGUUGUAAGUGUGUAUUUGGUGGAUGUAUGAAGAGCACUUAGGUACCCUUUUAGUAAUAAUACUUUUGUUAUUUUCCUAACAGGCCCAUGGAUGCAGUAUUGAAACCCUGGCCAUUGACAGGCAUCCACAUGUGAGGGUGCACUUGAGGGACUCCUAUGCUCAUACAGUAUCUGGCAUGAGUAUGAGCUUUGGCACAUUGCCAAAGGUGUGAGGAAAAAGCUGGUGGCCAUCGGGAAGCCAGAGGUACUGUCAUGUAUUCGAUAGUAAGAUCAGAACUAUAUGAUCAUGGUGAUUCAAGUCAGUGACUCAGGUGUCUCAUUUAUUCCCUGUCUGUCUCAUGUACUGCCAUGGGUGAGGGCAUUAACACACCACUUGCGCUGCUGGUGGGAGUGUCCAGGUGCUAAAAGAAAAGUGGAUCACCACAGUUCACCACGUUAUGAAUGAGCACCAGUGGGUCACUGGAGAUACACUCAACUACUGUGAGCACCCCCCCCCCCCCCCCCCUUCACACCUGAAGAAGGAACACAUCCUCAACCCGAGAUUGAAGGAUCUCGAAGGUGACGAAGUGUGUUCAGAUAGGUGAACUUGAGUGUACAUGCCCUGUACACUAAAUACGUGCCCAGGAGGAACAAGUUCGGCCUACAGGGGAUGCCACAAGAUUUCAGGUGGCUGCCUUAGACCACAAUUAUUCGGUGGACAGACAUCAGGCUACAACAAAUGAGGGAGUGCUCCGUUUCAAGCAAGAGUUCUCCAAGGCUGCCAGGGCAUUUGUGGUGAAACCCAUCAAGGGGGAGAAGACAUGGUGUUUCAGGUCUGAGCUUCUAGACUGCAUCGUUGACCGCUGUGCCAAUGGACCAUCCCAGCAGACUCUCUUGAGUGCCCAAAAAGAGAGAGUGGCGGUCACCUUGGGGAAGUGGACUGGUGUUCCGAAAAUGGAGAAGGAGCAGGCCAUUCAACAGCGAAUUCAAAGAUACACCCAUCCAUAGAGGGAGUCGGAGUGGAAUUGCUUUUCCACAGAUUGUUUUGGACCUGUUAAACAGACGUUUCCUUGUCUCGGACCUGCUGUUUCGACUCUCUCUCCCGGACCUGCUUUCUCGACCUAUGAAAAGCCAGCCGACAUUUGCUCCUGAGGUGUUGAACUGUUGCACCCUCUAUAACCAUUGUGGUUGUUAUUAGUUUGAUGUAAAAAGGGCUUUGUAAAAUACAUUUGAUUUAUUGAUUGCUUGCUGUGUUGCAUGCUGUGUAUUAACUGUCUGAGUGAUGGGACAUUUUUAUAGUAUCUGUAACAUAUUUUGGUGUGUAUUUAAUCUGCAACUUAACUUCUUAAAGCAGUAGAAAAAAAUAACAAAGUGUUCUCCAUGCCCGAUUCGGUAAAAACUCAGGGAUGGGGCUGGAGAAAUUUAACCAGUCUCAAAUUCAUAGACAGAGCAAUCGGUGGAAGGACUGGCCAUCCAUGAUAUCAAAGUUAUAGUUUUAACCAUGUUUUGGGGCUAUAUUGUGUUUGUUUAAAUGUUUUUUUUUUAAUACAAACGUUGGAAUAAAACGAGCUUAUAUUUUGGGUUCUGAUGGGGUACGACAGUUGAACUAAGCUCAUGAGACAUUUAUAAGUCAUAUUCUUCAAGAGUCAAUGGGUACAUUUCAUUAAUUUACAAGUGCAAAAAUGUAUGGAGCAAUUGCUGUUUGCUCCUUUUAGGUAAGCUACUGUUGUAGUGUCUAUUGAUCUUGUGCAUGAGGCAAAGACCACAGCCUUUCACAGCCUUUCCUGUGAAUCCUCUUCUUGUUAUAUUGGAACUUGUAAAAACAACGUAAUAACCCUGUAAUUUACUAUGCAUUGUAAUCCUCUUUCUGUGAUCUGUUUCCACCACCAUGUACCCAGUUCGCUUUGGAUAAAAGCAUCUGCUAAUACUA